GGUGAUCAAAUGAAAACCCAGAGCUGCUCCGAGACCUGCUUUUCAACAGCUCACGCAUUUCCAUCUUGUUUGAUGGGAGUCUGGAGAUCUUCAGUGCCACCAGAAACGAUGAGGGCUUUUACACCUGCUUUGCUGAGAAUGACAGAGGAAAGUCCAACAGCUCAGGUUAUCUCACCAUCACAGGGCGGAGAAAGAGUUGGUGACUUGCAGAUAAAGAAUCUCCAGAUCUGA